rnacentral:rRNA from 1 species
UACGAAGGGUGCUAGCGUUGUUCGGAAUUACUGGGCGUAAAGGGCGCGUAGGCGGCUUUACAAGUCAGGGGUGAAAUCCCACGGCUCAACCGUGGAAUUGCCUUUGAAACUGUAAAGCUAGAGUGUCGGAGGGGAUAGCGGAAUUGCUAAUGUAGAGGUGAAAUUCGUAGAUAUUAGCAGGAACACCGGUGGCGAAGGCGGCUAUCUGGACGACAACUGACGCUGAGGCGCGAAAGCAUGGGGAUCAAACAGG